AGGACGAACGCUGGCGGCGUGCCUAACACAUGCAAGUCGAACGGACGAGAGGAGCUUGCUCCUCGAGUUAGUGGCGAACGGGUGAGUAACGCGUGAGCAACCUGCCUUUCAGAGGGGGACAACGGUUGGAAACGACCGCUAAUACCGCAUGAUGCAUUCCGGUCGCAUGAUCGGGAUGCCAAAGAUUUAUCGCUGAAAGAUGGGCUCGCGUCUGAUUAGAUAGUUGGUGGGGUAACGGCCUACCAAGUCGACGAUCAGUAGCCGGACUGAGAGGUUGAACGGCCACAUUGGGACUGAGAUACGGCCCAGACUCCUACGGGAGGCAGCAGUGGGGAAUAUUGGGCAAUACGGGGGGAAACCCUGACCCAGCAACGCCGCGUGAAGGAAGAAGGCUUUCGGGUUGUAAACUUCUUUUACCAGGGACGAAGGACGUGACGGUACCUGGAGAAAAAGCCACGGCUAACUACGUGCCAGCAGCAGC
rnacentral:rRNA from 1 species